AACGAACGUUGGCGGCGUGGAUUAGGCAUGCAAGUCGGGGGAAUCCCAGCAAUGGGGGAACCGGCGUAAGGGGCAGUAAGGCGUGGGUACCUACCCUGGGGUUCGGGAUAGCCGUCUGAGAAGGCGGGUAAUACCGGAUGACCUCGGGAGAGCAAAGAUUCAUCGCCCUGGGAGGGGCCCACGUGAUAUUAGCUAGUUGGUGAGGUAACGGCUCACCAAGGCGAAGAUGUCUAGCGGGUGUGAGAGCACGACCCGCGCCACUGGCACGGAGACACUGGCCAGACACCUACGGGUGGCUGCAGUCGAGGAUCUUCGGCAAUGGGCGAAAGCCUGACCGAGCGACGCCGCGUGUGCGACGAAGGCCUUCGGGUUGUAAAGCACUGUCGAGGGGGAGAAAAGCCCGCAAGGGUGUGAUCUAUCCCUGGAGGAAGCUCGGGCUAAGUUCGUGCCAGCCGCCGCCGUAAGAC
rnacentral:rRNA from 1 species